CGCGCAGCAGGCUUCCGGCAGUCCAAAGGGCUUUGAGAGCUGCAGUUGGCAGAAACAGAGGGCACGGUCCGCGGACUGAGGGGCAGGGGUGAGUGCCCGCUUGGUCUGGGCCACUCCCGGAGGCCGCCGCGUGGGAAAGGACUUGGGUCAUUGGUAAAAGUCUAGUCCCAGGAUACAAUGAGCUGAAGUGGUAACCAGUGCACAGUGGACCUGCUUUGCAGCUUGGGCAUGCCACGCAAAUGAACAGGACUUAUCAUUUGUUCCCUUGAUUGCUCUGAGACUGAGUAAAGUUACUCAGUUUCCUGAUGCCAAGGUUGCAACUGAAAUAUCCUGUAGGAGCGAAAGAGGUCCGUCAUGCUUUCCACAGCACAUCAGGCAAUCCAUCCAAUCACAGCAACAACACCAAAAAUGAUCCCCUCUGCUCUCAGGUACUUUAAUUUGAAAAAUGGAGUUUUGGCUGGGUGUGGUGCCUCAUGCCUGUAAUCCCAGCGCUUUGGGAGGCUGACGUGGGAAGAUCAUUACUUGAGCCCAGAAGUUUGAGACCAGCCUGAGCAACAUAUCAAGACCUUGUCUCCACACACAAAAA
rnacentral:lncRNA from 10 species